UACGUAGGGGGCAAGCGUUGUCCGGAUUUAUUGGGCGUAAAGAGCUCGUAGGUGGUUUGGUAAGUCGGAUGUGAAAUCUCCAGGCUCAACCUGGAGGGGUCAUUCGAUACUGCCAUGACUAGAGGUCGGUAGGGGAGUGUGGAAUUCCUGGUGGAGCGGUGAAAUGCGCAGAUAUCAGGAAGAACACCCGUGGCGAAGGCGGCUCUCUGGGACGGUACUGACGCUGAGACGCGAAAGCGUGGGGAGCGAACAGG
rnacentral:rRNA from 1 species